rnacentral:ncRNA from 1 species
AAUAUAUUAAAUAGAUAUCUUCAGGAUUAUGGUGUUGAAGCUUAUAUAGCGUUCAUUCAUAGUGGCAGUAAAAUGUUUAUUGUUUGAAUGUGUUUAUAUAAGUGGAGCCCUACCUGUUGGUUUGCCCCAUUAUAAGGAUACUAGCUUCUGAAGUGGACAAACUGCGUCUAGCAAUAAUGAGAUUGAGCAAUAACAGGUCUGUGAUGUCCUUAGAUGUCCUGAGCUGCACGCGCGCUACAAUGAAAGUAUCAACGUGUAUUUCCUAGACCGAGAGGUCCGGGUAAACCGCUGAGCCACUUUCAUGCUUGGGAUUGUGAACUGAAACUGUUCACAUGAACUUGGAAUUCCCAGUAAAUAACGUCCCUGCCCUUUGUACACAGUGCCCGUCGCUGCUACCGAUUGAAUUAUUUAGUGAGAUCUCCGGACGUGAUCACUGUGACGCCUUGUGUGUUGCGUUUGUUCCGCAAAAGUUGAUCGAACUUGAUUAUUCAUUUUUAUUCAUUUUUAUAUAUAGAAAUAAGUAAAAUUU